UGCAAGUCGAACGAGCGAGAGAGAGCUUGCUUUCUCAAGCGAGUGGCGAACGGGUGAGUAACGCGUGAGGAACCUGCCUCAAAGAGGGGGACAACAGUUGGAAACGACUGCUAAUACCGCAUAAGCCCACGACCCGGCAUCGGGUAGAGGGAAAAGGAGCAAUCCGCUUUGAGAUGGCCUCGCGUCCGAUUAGCUAGUUGGUGAGGUAACGGCCCACCAAGGCGACGAUCGGUAGCCGGACUGAGAGGUUGAACGGCCACAUUGGGACUGAGACACGGCCCAGACUCCUACGGGAGGCAGCAGUGGGGAAUAUUGCACAAUGGGGGAAACCCUGAUGCAGCGACGCCGCGUGGAGGAAGAAGGUCUUCGGAUUGUAAACUCCUGUUGUUGAGGAAGAUAAUGACGGUACUCAACAAGGAAGUGACGGCUAACUACGUGCCAGCAGCCGCGGUAAAACGUAGGUCACAAGCGUUGUCCGGAAUUACUGGGUGUAAAGGGAGCGCAGGCGGGAAGACAAGUUGGAAGUGAAAUCCAUGGGCUCAACCCAUGAACUGCUUUCAAAACUGUUUUUCUUGAGUAGUGCAGAGGUAGGCGGAAUUCCCGGUGUAGCGGUGGAAUGCGUAGAUAUCGGGAGGAACACCAGUGGCGAAGGCGGCCUACUGGGCACCAACUGACGCUGAGGCUCGAAAGUGUGGGUAGCAAACAGGAUUAGAUACCCUGGUAGUCCACACUGUAAACGAUGAUUACUAGGUGUUGGAGGAUUGACCCCUUCAGUGCCGCAGUUAACACAAUAAGUAAUCCACCUGGGGAGUACGACCGCAAGGUUGAAACUCAAAGGAAUUGACGGGGGCCCGCACAAGCAGUGGAGUAUGUGGUUUAAUUCGACGCAACGCGAAGAA
rnacentral:rRNA from 1 species